rnacentral:lncRNA from 1 species
CUUGUUCCUCCUAGCCAGCUCUUGAAGAGUCGGAAAUUCACUCUAAACAGGAGAAGCAGCAAUGAGAACUUCAAGAAGAGAUAUAAGUGGAGAUGGGGUUUUACCGUGCCAGGAUGGUCUCGAUCUCCUGACCUCGUGAUCUGCCCGCCUCGGCCUCCCAAAGUGCUGGGAUUACAGGCUUGAGCCACUGCGCCUGGCCAGAAGACAGUUAUUGCCUCAACUUACAGCUCAUCCAAGAUCAACUGCAGAGGAGGACGAGGGAAAUUUUAUAUGGGAACAAUUAUCUGAAAAAUAGAAUGUCCUCAUUUGUAUGGUCAAGGCUGGGUUGCAGAGAAGUCCAUGUUGCAGCUCAUGGAAAAAAAGAACCAAAGGGACUCAAGAACACUGGCUUAUGUCUUAGAUUGGAGAUGACCUGGAAAGUCAACUUUCACCCAUAACCCAUUGGCCUAAAACAAUAGAAGGCAACUGGAAAAGAGGCAAGGAUUCUAACUACAUACUGCAGAAAAAAUAUUCACACCUGUCAAAUUCCAACAGCUGGCAUUGUUGUUGUUCUACGAAUAAGCACACACAGAAUCCUCGUGAAUAGUUCUUUGUCUCUUGCUCUAGUAAAUCAUAACCUGCUUGUAGCUUUUUUAUGAACCUUCAGGAAUAACUCUUCAGAGGAUGCUAAUACAUCAUUAAGAUUAAAUUGAACCUCAAAGGUGGGUUUUUUUUCCAAAAUGAUAAAGGCCACCAACACUGCAAGGUUUGCCGUCAUUCCCUUGAUCUGGUAAGUGACACCGUCUUCAGGGUUUGUGUACUCAAAGAUAUGAUUAAUAAAACGGUGACCAAGACGUGUGACGUAAUGCUGGUCAUGGACCUGUGGAUGCAGGAAAUAGGCCAGAGGCACCAGGAAUACAUCCUUAACUUCAGCAGGAUUCGGCUGGGCCUGGAAGUUGUGGUCUAUUAAACCCACAAAUGGAGUUAUCAAUGUAUCUGUCUAAAAGCAGAAAACAAAACAGACAAAUUAAGAAGUGAAGUGAUACUGCUUCAAAUCCUAAAAUCAUGCCACUUCUAGGUGAGCUAAGAAAAUACACCGAACCUGGGAGAAGGGGAAGAAAGCUUAUUCCGGAAACAAAUUUAUGUUCCCCCUAAAAUGGGAGUCAUCCUGCUCUACCUGAGGUGACAUCUAUGAGAUGACUCUGAAAAUGAUUUCUUGUAUGAACAUAAAGUAGUACAAUCUUUUGGAAUGGCAAUUUGGCAGUAUCAUAAAAAUGUGUUCGCUUUGACCUGGGAAUUGCAUUUGUGUAUCUGUAUGAUAAAUUCCUACCAGUAAGAAAAGACACAAGUAUAAACCUGAAGAAUUAGUUUCAACAACAGCCCCAAAUUCUAAAGUUAUCACUCUUCACUUUAUAGGCAUUUAGGUUAUAUAAAUUAGGGUUAUAUCCAUAAAAGAGGAUACUAUGUAGCCUUUAAAAACAAUGGGAUAGACAUCUUUCCUUCUCAGUAAAGAAAAAAAUGUGCUAUACUUAUGAACAGAAAAGUAAAGUGAUAUAAUACUAGUUAUGACAUAUUCCCAUUUAUGGAAAAAUUUCAUAGUACAUACACAUAUAUAUAUAAUUAUGUGUCUUAUAUAUAACUAUAUGUGAACUACUUUAUAUAACACACAUGUAUAUAUUACAUGGGAGAGGGAUUUCUAUUUACAACCACAACUGCUUGCAAAUGAACAUGAGUGGCCGGGUGUGGUGGCUCACGCCUGUAAUCCCAGCACUUUGGGAGGCUGAGGUGGGCGGACCACCUGAGGUCAGGAGUUUGAGACCAGCCUAGCCAACAUGAUGAAAUCCCGUCUCUACUAAAAAUACACAAAUUAGCCGGGUGUGGUGGUGCGUGCCUGUAAUCCCAGCUACUCAGGAGGCUGAGGCAGGAGAAUUGCUUGAACUUGGGAGGCGGAGAUAGAUUGCAGUGAGCCGAGAUCAUGCCACUGCACUCCAGCCUGGGUGACAGAGAGAGGCCCAGUCUCAAAAAUAAAAAUAAAUAUAUAAAAGUAAAAAAGCAAAUGAACAUGAGUGUUGUCAAAUGAAAGACUGUUUUGUUAUACUGGAAACCCUGAGAGGGAGGCCUGGGGCUGAGUGAGGAUGUGGGAACUGGUAAGAGCUGCCUGCCUUUGUAUUAGAAAGUGAGAAGAACUGGAAUUCCUGGAGCAUCCCAAGAGGAAGUGGGUGGAAAAAGCCAGAGAGGUAGACACAUGGUGAGGCUGGGACCUAUCCGGCCUGCAGAAUGUUCUGAGGGACAGCCAAAGACAGGAAACCAAAUUUAGGAACAGAGACAACUCAGACCAUUAACCAAAAUAAUAGUGAAAGUCAACAUUUGGACCAGGAGGAGACAAGAGGAACAUAGACUUCGUAUGUCCUUGGGGCAGGAAAUUUGGGGUCAUUAAGUUACCCGAGGGCAGAGGCAACAUUCUACCAGCACGUAACACCACACCUGGCAUUGGGGAAAUGCUUAGUCUCUGAAUAUGGAGUUUUCCAGGUGGACUCUGAGAUAAGGACUCAGAUGCAAGUGAUUUUUUAAGAAAGUGCUCCCAGGGGAAACAGUUAAGGGGAAGAGGGGAGCAAUACUCAUAAGGGAAGAAGGCUGGCAAGGGCACCAUGGGGUGUUCUGGAGGGUAAAUUAAUAUGCAGUUUGUCCCACAUGGAGACAAGGGAGCUGGGAUUUCAUGCUCCCCAGCCCCAGUCAGUCACUGGUUAAGGACUACCUUGCCAGAGGUGAAUUCACAGGCACUCCCAGCUCUCUGUGCAGGACACAUGGCAAGGUGGCUCCAGUAUCAAGGGUACCAGUAUUCAGAAGAAAGCUGCCAAGUGUUGUCAGAGGCGUUUGAACCAGAGCAACUCCAUCUUGAAUAGGGGCUGGGUAAGAUAAGGCUUGGAGCUACUGGGCUGCAUUCCCAGGAGGUUAGGGCAUGCUUAGUCACCAGAUGAGACUGAGAUACAAGUCAUAAAGACCUUACAGUAAAGAAGGCCAUCAAAACGCACCAAAACCAAGAUGGCAAUGAAAGUAACCUCUGGUCAUCCUCACUGCUCAUUAUACGAUA